rnacentral:tRNA from 1 species
GUUUUAAUAGUUUAAUCAAAACAUUGGUCUUGUAAAUCAAAAAUAAGAAUUAUCUUUUAAAGCU